UCCCAACCUACCGGACCAGUUUCUAGCAAU
rnacentral:piRNA from 1 species